UACGUAGGGUGCGAGCGUUAAUCGGAAUUACUGGGCGUAAAGCGUGCGCAGGCGGUUUUGUAAGCCAGAUGUGAAAUCCCCGGGCUCAACCUGGGAAUGGCAUUUGGGACUGCAAGGCUGGAGUUUGGCAGAGGAGACUGGAAUUCCUGGUGUAGCAGUGAAAUGCGUAGAUAUCAGGAGGAACACCGAUGGCGAAGGCAGCCCCCUGGGCUGACACUGACGCUCAGGCACGAAAGCGUGGGGAGCAAACAGG
rnacentral:rRNA from 1 species